GGUUUUUGGAAGAUAUAAGGUUUAUGUAAAAAAAGAGUAUGAAUCAAAAACCAGUGGUUUAGAACAGAUAACACAGUUUUUGGUGAAGUUUCUGUGAUAUCUGCCUUUUAUCUCUGAAACAAAGUGUUAAGUUGAUGCGUAGAACUUAGAGAAAGUAGUUUUCUUAAGGUUUUUCCCAACUGUAACAGCUUGUCAAAUUCUUAUAUGAUUAUAUAAUCCUAAAAAUAAAAACUGCCAAGAUUCUAUGAAUGUAUAUGCAAAGGAGUCCAUGUAAUUAGUUAUAAACAGUAGUUUUAACGAUUUGUGAUGAAGCACAGAAGAAGAUAAAAAUAACAAUGUAUAGUGAAAAUACACACCUAACAACCCACAAAUAAUUUUUUUUACUUACCCCCCAAAACAAAAAAGUCAAAUAUGC
rnacentral:lncRNA from 1 species